AGCUGCGAUGGAGAGCAAUACACCAUAUCGCUAUUUCUCCGCCAUUACUGGACAUCACACAGGUUCCCGUAAAAUUUUGACGUCAUAAUACAAAAUAUCUGACGCCACAAUGGAAAAGUGAUUGUUGUAUGACGUCAAUAGUUCAAGCGGGACAGAUUCUCGGGUCAGUCGGGAAUAGUGAUAAGGUGUAUAGUAAGAAGCAAAUUGAAAACAAUGUUGUUACUUUAAUUUACAAAUAUCUCCAGCUUUAUAUUCAAUUUUAUCAAAAGAAUGUUGAAAGGCAAAAGACCAUUAUUAAUUUUAUAUUUCUAUCAACCAUAUAUUAUCUUUAAAUGAACUUGGGGAUUAAAACCAAUAAUCGUUGACUCUUCAUUGAGAAUCAGCAUUACUUCCUUACAAGGAAAAAUAUCCUACUUUAAAUUAUAACUUUAGAGUAAAAUUAAUGAUUUCAAAAAUGAGUUACUGGAAAGGGCUAUAGACAAGGAAUAAUUACCGUAAUUAUGUACAAAUAUUAAAAACCCAAUUAUUUAUUUAUUCUUCAAAUUCUUGUAUUUAUGUGCUCUGUGUGUGUGUUUAGAGGAGGGGGGGGGUAACAUACUUCAGACUAGUUUCAUAACAUUUUUCAUAGAAAAUCAUACUUUUUAUAAUCUUUUGGUGGAGGAUUGUCUCACUAGAAAUCAAGCAAUUAUCAUUUUGUAUUGAAAACCAAUAAUUCAUAGUUAGGUACUGGUCUAAUGAUCACUAAAGUGUAAAUAGUAAAAAUAAGAAAGUGUAUUUAUAAACAUACAACAAAUUUAAUGUCAAAACAUAAAAAAAAUCAGUCGAUAGCUGACAAACAGAAAGACAAAAUAUAAUUAUGUAACCACAUGCUGUAACAAGAAUAUGACAUAUUGUACAGACGCAUAGAAAAAAUAUACAUUUAAUAGAUUGUCGUGUGCCGGAGGAAUGUAUGUUAAAUUUUAUAUGCACUUGAUGAAUAUGAAAUGACAGUUUAGGUCAGUACUGAAUAUUCUUUAAAACUAUCUCAUAUUUGAAUGUUCCCUCUUUCCUUUGUAAAAUAGUUGCAGUAAUAGAUAGCCAUCAAAGAAUAUAAAAGAAAAAGAGAGAACUUAUUCUACAAAGAUACGGUAACCAAGGCACUUAUAAUAUUAAUACAAAAAGAGAUAUACAGACAAGAUUCCAAUAAAUAUCACAGCUAUAAAAUAUCACAGUUUAUAACACAAUAUAAAAACAUUCUUUUUAAAAUCUGAUAAUACUGUUAUAGACAAUAUACAUUUGAUGGACUGAAUGAAAUAAAAUUUGAGCAAAGCAAAAAAAAUGUAAUAUCUUAUCUAUUUCAAAAUGGAAAAUAUGAAAAAUACAUGAUUUUUGUACAAUAAAAAAAAAUCUCAAUCAUACAAGUGAAAAUGAUGGCAGUAUCAUUGAUGGAUAAUAUGCCAAAAUCCUUAGUUGAACAAAAAGUAAUGAUUGGGAAGAAA